UGAGACACCAACGUUUAAGUUGUUACUACUUACAAGGUUCACAAAUUGACCUAGAAUUCGGAAAAGGUAGAAGCUUUUCAGUUGGUUGUUUGGAGGAAAAAAGAUUAAUUUUAGAAACUUUUACUGAUUACAAUGAAGAAACUGCAGUGAUUAUUUAUCCAUGGGUGAAAGUUCGUAGUCAAGUCUACAAACCUGGUUAUGUUCUAAUUAAAGAAAAUAAAGAUGAUGUUCCUCA